rnacentral:rRNA from 1 species
GACGAACGCUGGCGGCGUGCUUAACACAUGCAAGUCGAACGGAAAGGCCUGCUUUCCCUUGUGGAUUGCGGGUACUCGAGUGGCGAACGGGUGAGUAACACGUGAGUGAUCUGCCCCCAACUUGGGUAUAAGCCUGGGAAACUGGGUCUAAUUCCCGAUAGGACUGCAGGGUGGUGCCUGUGGUGGAAAACGAUUUUCUAGUGGGUGGGGAUGAGCUCGCGGCCUAUCAGCUUGUUGGUGGGGUAAUGGCCUACCAAGGCGGGGACGGGGAGCCGGCCUGAGAGGGUGGACGGCGACAUUGGGGCUGGGAUACGGCCCAGACUCCUACGGGAGGCAGCAGUGGGGAAUAUUGCACAAUGGGCGGAAGCCUGAUGCAGCGACGCCGCGUGGGGGAUGACGGCCUUCGGGUUGUAAACUCCUUUCGACCGCGAGGAAGCCACCUGGUUGGAAGGGUGGUGACGGUAGUGGUAGAAGAAGCACCGGCUAACUACGUG